UACGGAGGGUGCAAGCGUUAAUCGGAAUUACUGGGCGUAAAGCGUGCGCAGGCGGUUUGUUAAGUCCGUUGUGAAAGCCCCGAGCUCAACUUGGGAAUUGCGGUGGAUACUGGCAGGCUGGAGUACGGUAGAGAAAGGUGGAAUUCCCGGUGUAGCAGUGAAAUGCGUAGAUAUCAGGAGGAAUACCGAUGGCGAAGGCAGGUCUCUGGGCUGACACUGACGCUCAUGCACGAAAGCGUGGGGAGCAAACAGG
rnacentral:rRNA from 1 species